GCCCUACGGGGGGCAGCAGUGGGGAAUAUUGGGCAAUGGGCGCAAGCCUGACCCAGCAACGCCGCGUGAAGGAAGAAGGCUUUCGGGUUGUAAACUUCUUUUGUCAGGGACGAAGCAAGUGACGGUACCUGACGAAUAAGCCACGGCUAACUACGUGCCAGCAGCCGCGGUAAUACGUAGGUGGCAAGCGUUAUCCGGAUUUACUGGGUGUAAAGGGCGUGUAGGCGGGGAAGCAAGGCAGAUGGAAAAACCACGGGAUCAACCUGUGGCCUGCCUUUGAAACUGUUUUUCUUGAGUGCUGGAGA
rnacentral:rRNA from 1 species